GUGCCAAAUGAGUAAAAAAAAUAGGCUCGUUCAAGAUGAGCCAGGUCAGCGCAGAAUGGAUCACCGGCAAACGCCGCCCGUUGCAUGCCGGUUAG